rnacentral:rRNA from 1 species
CAGUCGAACGGCAGCACGGGUGCUUGCACCUGGUGGCGAGUGGCGAACGGGUGAGUAAUAUAUCGGAACGUACCUUAUUGUGGGGGAUAACGCAGCGAAAGCUGUGCUAAUACCGCAUAAUCCCUUAGGGGGAAAGCGGGGGACCGUAAGGCCUCGCGCAAUUAGAGCGGCCGAUACCUGAUUAGCUAGUUGGUGAGGUAAAGGCUCACCAAGGCGACGAUCAGUAGCUGGUCUGAGAGGACGAUCAGCCACACUGGGACUGAGACACGGCCCAGACUCCUACGGGAGGCAGCAGUGGGGAAUUUUGGACAAUGGGGGCAACCCUGAUCCAGCAAUGCCGCGUGAGUGAAGAAGGCCUUCGGGUUGUAAAGCUCUUUUGUCAGGGAAGAAACAGCAGCUCUAAUACAGUAUGCGAAUGACGGUACCUGAAGAAUAAGCACCGGCUAACUACGUGCCAGCAGCCGCGGUAAUACGUAGGGUGCAAGCGUUAAUCGGAAUUACUGGGCGUAAAGCGUGCGCAGGCGGUUAUGUAAGACAGGCGUGAAAUCCCCGGGCUUAACCUGGGAAUUGCGCUUGUGACUGCAUAGCUAGAGUAUGUCAGAGGGGGGUAGAAUUCCACGUGUAGCAGUGAAAUGCGUAGAGAUGUGGAGGAAUACCAAUGGCGAAGGCAGCCCCCUGGGAUAAUACUGACGCUCAUGCACGAAAGCGUGGGGAGCAACAGGAUUAGAUACCCUGGUAGUCCACGCCCUAAACGAUGCUGACUAGUUGUUCGGGAAUUUAUUCCUGAGUAACGUAGCUAACGCGUGAAGUCAGCCGCCUGGGGAGUACGGUCGCAAGAUUAAAACUCAAAGGAAUUGACGGG